rnacentral:lncRNA from 1 species
AAAAGCCCCACUUUUAUUCCAUAGGCUUGGAACCGCACUGUGCAGCUUUUGCAAGAGCACAUUUUUCACUGGCUGUCCACUGGUUUCAAAAACAUUGAUUGAUAGGCAGCUUAAACUUCUUGAAUUCAACCAUUAUUGGGAUCAAAUACACAUUUAGAUUUGUGAACAGCCAUCCAGAACAACCACAAUCCGUAAGGCGCAAAGCCACAUCACUCGCACAAAAAGAAUUCCACGGAAACCAACAACCACAGAGAUGCUCUGGCCCAACAGAAUACUAACAUCACCAUGCCAACCACAGCUGAUUUGGAGUAAGUGUAGAAGUUGAAGGCACUGCAGGUACUUGCCUGAACUUCUGGGAGGAGAGAAGUACAUUUCCUGCUCUGUGGUGUUGCCUGAUGUCUGCCAUCUCCUUCAGGUGAUGGAGAGCUCCGAUGAUGACCCUGUCUAAAUGAAAUGUUUGGCGAUCGACUAGGAAUGCCUUGGAGAUCGACCAGUCAAUCACGAUCAACUAGGAAUGCCUUGGAGAUCGACCAGUCAAUCACGAUCAACCGGUUGGUGAACACUGCUCUUGAAAGUUGAGUGAAGUUCAAUCUCUGUUGGCUGAUAUUUCUGCGUCUCGGGGCUACUGUACGCAUGUUACUUGUCUCCACAUAAACCUGAU